AAGCACAGCUCUUGAUAAUUCAAGAUAAACAUCUUCUUGCUUGCUGGUUUCAUUCUUAGGAAUGUCUUACUUGUCACAAGCUGAACAUUUUGGAAUGCAACCUAGAUUGGCAAGGAAUAAGCCACUGAAAUCAAGGUAUUUAUAAUCAGGAUUGGGCAGUAUUAGUAAUGGAUGAUGAUAUCUACCUCACCUAUGCAUUUUGAUGUGUGAUUUGAGAGCUUGAAAGAGAUUUGUUUAUUUUGAAAUGCAACAUAUACAAGGAGUACAGCAGAAAGAUUUUACCUGUUUUAAAUUGUUAGAAUUUUCCACACCUCCACAGCAUCAUGCAGACUGAGAAACCUUGAACUGGACAAAAUCCAAAACAUGCUGGACAAAGUAUUGUCAGACCAGGGCACUCACAAAUCAUCUGCGCCUGGAAAAUCUUAACUCUGAUUGCGUUAACAACGCUGAGGUCCCAUUUGUUUUCUGCAGUCCAGUGGCAAGGAGAAAGCUAUCUGCCUGGAAGUUUGGAAUGCUGUAGUCAAUCUUACAGAGCAGCACCUUGGAAAAGAAGAGAAAAAACCAAAAAUGCUUCAAUGCCUUCCAGUAGUUUUAGAGGACUGAUGGAACCCACUAACUUCAGUUCCAGAAUCAAGGACGAAGAGAAAAAUUCCAGCAAAGACUCCAAAUGCAAAGAAUACAUACAUACAUACAUAUAUAUAUAUGAAAUACCAAAAGGGUAAGACUCAGAAUCAGCUUAGCUGCAUAAGAAUAUAGCCAUUUUGAGCUGUAAAAAUGAACAUCCGCUGAUAAGCAAAGAUUGUUGUAUUAAUUCAAAGCCUUCUAAUUUGCUUAGAUUUUUGUAGGAAUGGUGUGGCUUAAAGGGCGCUCUCCAAGUCUUGCAGUUUGCCCCAUUCCAAAGUGAAUAGUAGUUAGAACUAUCUGGAAGGGCACCACAGUUUUGUUUUGUUUUUGGUAGGUGAAGAAUGUACUUUUUCCCAGCUGUAUUCCCAGAAAUGCCUGGACUGCUCUGCUGAAAUCUGCCCCAAAACAUGCAAAGAAACAACAGAAGGCACACUUGGUACUUUUUGGCAAAGUUAUAAACAGAGAAAUUCUUCAUGCUUGCAGAGAAGAGGAUUCCCUUGCCAGAGGAAGGGGUUGGAAAUGUAUAUUAAAAAAAAAAAAGUGCCUAUGGAUUACAGGUAAAAAAUGAGUGACUAUUUUACAAAUGGAGAAACGCACAACUUGAGCUAUGGCUUUGGGUUUUUUCCCUUUUUUUCAGGAAGAAAGAGUCACUGUGUCAAAUAUAUUUUUUAACUGAUCAUCAACCAUAAAACCUCAAAUCUUCCCAAAGUUUUUUUCCUGAAACAAGAGCAACAAUAGAAAAUAAGGAGGGAGGAAGUUUUGUACCUCUUUGCAACAGUCUCCAUCAUCAAUACCUUUUCUCUUGUCAUGCCCAGGAUUGGAUUGAUGCUAUUAAAAAGAAAUUUUGGAGCCCUGUUAUUUAUAAAUGAGAAUGGUCCUGGAAAGCACAGAUGCUCUUUCAGUUACUCUUUGG
rnacentral:lncRNA from 1 species